rnacentral:lncRNA from 1 species
ACACACAUUUGCAUGAACUGAGGCUGGGAUUCAAAGCUGGAUCUUCCUGGUGCUCUGUACAAUCCAGAAUGUGACCUUGCCCUCCUGGACAGGGCUGUGUACAUUCCAUGUGUUCUGAUGGGCUUUGGUCCCAGAGGGGUGACUUUAUUUCCAUAUGACUGACAGUCUCAGGAGGACUCCCAGAAUUGGCCACAAGCUGCUGCCCUGGGACAUACCUCUCCUGAGACUGGGGCGGCCCUGAGGGAGUCCACAGCUUCUGAAAGCUUCCCCUUUCCCAGACAGCCUUUGGGCUAGCACUGUGCCCAGGGGCUAACUGCGCUGUCUUUGUGGCACCCCUCUCUCCUGCCCGGUGUAGGCAAGGACCUAGCAAAAAGAGCUCUUCCAGGCAAGAAUCAGCCAACACCAUUGGAUGGCCCAGUAGCAGUUGUCCCAGUAGCAAUUCUUGGCAGCAAGAGAUGGGGAAAGAAAGGAGUCCAGGGACAAUACGUUAAAUAAAGAUAUCACUUCUGCAUUUAAAUAGGAUGCUAAUGAAGCCCAUGGGCCAGACUCCAAUUUCUGCAGUUUGGAGGAUCUUUGUUCUGAGUGCUUAAAUGGUGGUGUUUGUGGGCUAUUAAUGUAAACUGGUUCAGAGUUGAAUGUCUACAUGUUUUGAGAGAGAGGCCUCAGCUUGGGCACCAGAGCUCCAAGACCCCCAUUUCUCAACUAACCACUGCCUCUUCCUCACUGCUGCUGCCCCCAAGCUGAAAAGGGUCCUUUCCCUUUAGCUUAUAUUGGAGAAAUGCAGGUGGGCCAACCAUUCAGAGUACUUAGAUCAGCAGUCCCAUCAGAACCACACAGGGCCAGGGGAGAGUGUUUCCCAACAAAAGGAGGGGCUGUUGAGACAAUAGCACCGUCUUCUUCCAGACCAUCCCCCCUCCACCUGAGUCCUCAUGGAGACUACGCUCCAGCCACGAUACCUACAGUAAACCUUUUAUUCAAGAGUCUGAACUCAGAAGCAUCCAAACAAUGGAUCUAUUCUUUUUUUUUUUUUUUUUUUUGAGACUGAGUCUCAGUCUGUCACCCAGGCUGGAGUGCAGUGGCAUGAUCUCGGCUCACUGCAACCUCCGCCUCCCGGGUUCAUUGGAUUCUUCUGCCUCAGCCUCCUGAGUAGCUGAGUAGCUGGUACUACAGGCGUGCACCACCAUGCCCUGCUAAUUUUGUAUCGAGCUCACUGUAGCCUUGACCUCCUGGGCUCAGGGGAUCCUUCCACUUCAGUCUCAUGAUUAGCUAGGACUGUAGGAGUGCACUGCCAUCCCCUGCUGAUGUUUUCUUUUUUGUAGAGACAGGGUCCCACUAUGUUGCUCAAACUGGUCUUUAACUCCUGGGCUCAAGAGAUCCUCUAGCCUUAGCCUCCCAAAGUGCUGGGACUGUGGGCGUGAGUCACUGUGCCCAGCCAUGAUUCAUUUUCUAAAUAAUACAUGAGCAUUCCAGUUGCUCCACAUCCUCUCCAAUAUUUGGUGUUGUCAGC